rnacentral:rRNA from 1 species
UACGUAGGAGGCAAGCGUUGUCCGGAAUUACUGGGCGUAAAGCGCGUGUAGGCUGCUCGGAAAGUCGGAUGUGAAAGCCCUGGGCUCAACCUAGGAAGUGCAUUCGAAACUUCCGAGCUGGAGUGCUGGAGAGGAAGGCGGAAUUCUCGGUGUAGAGGUGAAAUUCGUAGAUAUCGAGAGGAACACCGGUGGCGAAGGCGGCCUUCUGGACAGUGACUGACGCUGAGACGCGAAAGCGUGGGGAGCAAACAGG